UUCUCAUCUGCUAGGACUUGGAAU
rnacentral:siRNA from 1 species